rnacentral:piRNA from 1 species
UACCUAUUCAAUAGAGGUGUCUAUUGGUU